AGUGAACGCUGGCGGUAGGCCUAACACAUGCAAGUCGAACGGCAGCACAGUAAGAGCUUGCUCUUACGGGUGGCGAGUGGCGGACGGGUGAGGAAUACAUCGGAAUCUACUUUUUCGUGGGGGAUAACGUAGGGAAACUUACGCUAAUACCGCAUACGACCUACGGGUGAAAGCAGGGGAUCUUCGGACCUUUCGCGAUUGAAUGAGCCGAUGUCGGAUUAGCUAGUUGGCUGGGUAAAGGCCCACCAAGGCGACGAUACGUAGCUGGUCUGAGAGGAUGAUCAGCCACACUGGAACUGAGACACGGUCCAGACUCCUACGGGAGGCAGCAGUGGGGAAUAUUGGACAAUGGGCGCAAGCCUGAUCCAGCCAUACCGCGUGGGUGAAGAAGGCCUUCGGGUUGUAAAGCCCUUUUGUUGGGAAAGAAAAGCAGCAGGUUAAUACCCCGCUGUUCUGACGGUACCCGAAGAAUAAGCACCGGCUAACUUCGUG
rnacentral:rRNA from 1 species